rnacentral:rRNA from 1 species
GACGAACGCUGGCGGCGUGCUUAACACAUGCAAGUCGAACGGAAAGGCCCUGCUUUUGUGGGGUGCUCGAGUGGCGAACGGGUGAGUAACACGUGAGUAACCUGCCCUUGACUUUGGGAUAACUUCAGGAAACUGGGGCUAAUACCGGAUAGGAGCUCCUGCUGCAUGGUGGGGGUUGGAAAGUUUCGGCGGUUGGGGAUGGACUCGCGGCUUAUCAGCUUGUUGGUGGGGUAGUGGCUUACCAAGGCUUUGACGGGUAGCCGCCCUGAGAGGGUGACCGGCCACAUUGGGACUGAGAUACGGCCCAGACUCCUACGGGAGGCAGCAGUGGGGAAUAUUGCACAAUGGGCGGAAGCCUGAUGCAGCAACGCCGCGUGCGGGAUGACGGCCUUCUGGUUGUAAACCGCUUUCGCCUGUGACGAAGCGUGAGUGACGGUAAUGGGUAAAGAAGCACCGGCUAACUACGUG